UACGUAGGGGGCCAGCGUUGUUCGGAAUUACUGGGCGUAAAGGGCUCGUAGGUUGCCAACUAAGUCAGACGUGAAAUCCCUCAGCUUAACUGGGGAACUGCGUCUGAUACUGGAUGGCUUGAGUUUGGGAGAGGGAUGCGGAAUUCCAGGUGUAGCGGUGAAAUGCGUAGAUAUCUGGAGGAACACCGGUGGCGAAGGCGGCAUCCUGGACCAACACUGACACUGAGGAGCGAAAGCCAGGGGAGCAAACAGG
rnacentral:rRNA from 1 species